AGAAUGCCAAAGAGCAGCAGGAUGGAUCCAGCAUCCUCUCCUGAUAAAAGAGGGCUAGAAGACGGGAGGCUCCGGGAAGUCUACUGGGGAUGGAAAACAAACUGAAACUGGCUCAAGUGAAUGCUCACUGGAAGGCUUACUGGAAAACUUACUGGAAGGAUGUGAGGACAUGUUCGGGAAUCUAUUUGCAGAAAACAUAUUCAGGGACAACAGAAAAUUUAUAUAAACUGCAACCUCAAUACUUUGAAGACAGUAGCACGAGGAAUGAAUUAGUG
rnacentral:lncRNA from 1 species